CGUACCAAUGCGCCGAGAGAACGGUAAGAGCGCGAGGCACAUGGUGGCGAGCACGAGCCACAUGGCCUCGGGGACCUACGUCCAGCUGCCAGCCCCAGCAACCAGCUGCCGCGGCCAGGCCAGGUAGAGCAGCCCCUCGAACGGCAGCACCGUGAGGCGCCGCAGCAGCGCCAGCCACCGGUUCGGCCACAGGGCGGCGACCAACUCACUCACUGUGAGUGCAGGUCCAGCAGCAAGGAGCGCGCGCGCGCGGCAAACAGGGUACGCGGCUGCAACCUGGGCUUGGGCUGCUCGACGGGGUGGGCCAGGCCUAGCAAGGCCGAGCCCCUCAAGACAGGCCGCUGCCCCCGGGCCCAGCCAACAUCGCCCCCGUCUUUCCCAGAGCCGCGCUGGUUUCCGCAUAGGCACCGCCUCACUUCUGACGUUUUACUUCCGCUGAGCCUUGGGCGCCACAAGAGCAUCGCGGAAUCAGAACAGCUGGGGACACGUAGUGGGCUGGAUCCGGAAGUGGCUACUCAGGGAGACGCCAUGACAGGUUGCUGCCAGAAAAAUAGGCUGGGCGCCGCCAUGACAGAAAGGGCUUGAAGGGCUAAAGGCGGCCUGCCUACCCUGCCACGCCGGACUGAGACCGGAAAAAACGAGGCAAGCCCGGGCGCCGUGACAACCUGAACCGGAAUAGGCGAGUCCUCCUCCGAGACUACAUGGUACCGGCCUAUCUGGUUCACGAAGGACGGAACUUGUACACUUCGGAGGCAGGGCCUGUCAGGGAAAAGCUGGUGUUCAGGGGGCGGGGCUUGCUAUGAGGUGGGGCUUGUGUCUCCUGCUGAAAGCCUCCGCCUUCAGGGUCCUGGGGAGGGCUCAAGACUGGCAGGCUUACAAAGCUAACACGGGACACAGCCACACAUGACAAGAGCCAUCAUGCAAUAGAUAAUUACUCACAAAAUUACUACUUUAACAUAAAAUAUGAAAAAUCGAUGUUUAUUUGAAAUGAUGUAUUUUUUCUGUAUUAUUUACUUUCCAGUUACAUAAAUGCUGUUGUUUGAACAAAACCAAAAUAGUAUUGUAUUACUAAUAGAAAAAGGUAUAUCAAUAUGUUUAUAGUGUUUCUGCCCUCUGAUACAGAAUUUAUGAGCUAUAUUUUCAACUGUUUAUUGGAUAUUGAAUUUUCUGUUACAUUGCAUGUUCUUAAGAUUCUUAAAAUACAUAUGUGUAAGACUUUGCAAAAGGAGAAUGUAAAUGCAAUAGGACUUGGAUAAUAUUCUAUAUUUAAUAAAAUAACGAUGAUGUUUCUUUCUUUCCCGUUA